GUUUUAUUAAAUUGGUUUAGAUUUGUUGGUUAAACUUAAAUUGGCAUUGGUUUAGAGAUUUUAGUUGUUUUAAUUCAAUUUUACAAAAUUUGAUGGGUCAAUUAGCUAAACCAUUGAAACCAUUACUCAUUACAACCCAACUCAUUUUAUUCAUCAAACUAAUUGACUCAAUAACUCAUUUGACCCAUCAACUCAUUUGAGUCAAAAUUUUCAACUCAUUAGAGUUCAUGGGUUGAGUUGACCAAUGAAUUUUGACCCAUUUUGACACACCUACCUUCAACCAUAUACGUUGCGUUUUGGCAUUCAAUUAAACGAACCCAUUUGAAUCCCACUCAUUUAAAUAAAAUAUCUAUGGACCUUGUAAAAGACCUUCAAGCUCUUUUAUUUACCUAAGUAAUUCUAUUAUUUCCCCUGGUUUUAUUCAUGUAAUUAUAUAUAUAUAAAUUGUUAUAGUUAAAGAGAUUAUUUUAUGGGCAUUUC
rnacentral:sRNA from 1 species